rnacentral:rRNA from 1 species
AUGAACGCUGGCGGCGUGUCUAAGGCAUGCAAGUCGAGUGCAGGUUAAGCUGCACGGCAGACGGGUGCGUAACACAUUGGUAAUCUACCUUCAAGUCGGGGAUAAUCCCGCGAAAGCGGGAAUAAUACCCGAUACGGUGUAGUAACGAAAGUUAUUACACCAAAGUUCCGGCGCUUGAAGAGGAGCCUAUGGCCCAUCAGCUAGUUGGCGGGGUAAGAGCCCACCAAGGCAAUGACGGGUAGCGGUUCUGAGAGGAUGAUCCGCCACACUGGUACUGAGACACGGACCAGACUCCUACGGGAGGCAGCAGUGAGGAAUAUUGCACAAUGGGGGGAACCCUGAUGCAGCAACGCCGCGUGGAGGAUGACGCAUUUCGGUGUGUAAACUCCUUUUAUAUGUCAAGAAAAUGACGGUAGCAUAUGAAUAAGCACCGGCUAACUCCGU